AAUGGACGAAAGUCUGACCGAGCAACGCCGCGUGAGUGAAGAAGGUUUUCGGAUCGUAAAACUCUGUUGUUAGAGAAGAACAAGGAUGAGAGUAAAAUGUUCAUCCCUUGACGGUAUCUAACCAGAAAGCCACGGCUAACUACGUGCCAGCAGCCGCGGUAAUACGUAGGUGGCAAGCGUUGUCCGGAUUUAUUGGGCGUAAAGCGAGCGCAGGCGGUUUCUUAAGUCUGAUGUGAAAGCCCCCGGCUCAACCGGGGAGGGUCAUUGGAAACUGGGAGACUUGAGUGCAGAAGAGGAGAGUGGAAUUCCAUGUGUAGCGGUGAAAUGCGUAGAUAUAUGGAGGAACACCAGUGGCGAAGGCGGCUCUCUGGUCUGUAACUGACGCUGAGGCUCGAAAGCGUGGGGAGCGAACAGGAUUAGAUACCCUGGUAGUCCACGCCGUAAACGAUGAGUGCUAAGUGUUGGAGGGUUUCCGCCCUUCAGUGCUGCAGCAAACGCAUUAAGCACUCCGCCUGGGGAGUACGACCGCAAGGUUGAAACUCAAAGGAAUUGACGGGGGCCCGCACAAGCGGUGGAGCAUGUGGUUUAAUUCGAAGCAACGCGAAGAACCUUACCAGGUCUUGACAUCCUUUGACCACUCUAGAGAUAGAGCUUCCCCUUCGGGGGCAAAGUGACAGGUGGUGCAUGGUUGUCGUCAGCUCGUGUCGUGAGAUGUUGGGUUAAGUCCCGCAACGAGCGCAACCCUUAUUGUUAGUUGCCAUCAUUUAGUUGGGCACUCUAGCGAGACUGCCGGUGACAAACCGGAGGAAGGUGGGGAUGACGUCAAAUCAUCAUGCCCCUUAUGACCUGGGCUACACACGUGCUACAAUGGGAAGUACAACGAGUUGCGAAGUCGCGAGGCUAAGCUAAUCUUUUAAAGCUUCUCUCAGUUCGGAUUGUAGGCUGCAACUCGCCUACAUGAAGCCGGAAUCGCUAGUAAUCGCGGAUCAGCACGCCGCGGUGAAUACGUUCCCGGGCCUUGUACACACCGCCCGUCACACCACGAGAGUUUGUAACACCCGAAGUC
rnacentral:rRNA from 1 species